rnacentral:sRNA from 1 species
CUGCGUUAGGGAUGGGAGCGGCAUCCUUUUGCGAUAACCCGGACUUUCUUUCUAAAACCAUAACAUCAAUCGCAAAAGAUAUAGCGGACAGCCCGGCCCGGA